UGAACCAUUUUGGUGUUUAUGUGAUAUAUUUCUUCAAUCUUCCUGCACCAAUAGAUCAAAUUCCUACAAAUAUGUCUCCUGUGAAAAUCGUACCCACUAGCAUGGCCAAAGAAUUCGCUGGCGUAAAUGUAUGAUGGAAAUGAUAUGACAUUUGGGAUAUCAUCAAGAAUAGCUGGCCUUGUUUUAAUCACUCUGUGUAUUUAUGUAAAAAUUUCACAAUGAAAUUUUGAUAAUUAAGUUGGCACUAUUGUCUUUGUUCUUGAUACAUUGUAAAAACCAAAAAAUUUCAAUGAAAAUUUGAUAAUUAACUUGGUACUA